rnacentral:rRNA from 1 species
GAUGAACGCUAGCUACAGGCUUAACACAUGCAAGUCGAGGGGUAACAAGAGAAAAGCUUGCUUUUCUUGUUGACGACCGGCGCACGGGUGAGUAACGCGUAUCCAACCUGCCUAUAACUAGGGAAUAACCUUGCGAAAGUAAGACUAAUACCCUAUGAUUUCCUUUGAUGACAUCAGAUUAGGAAUAAAGAUUUAUCGGUUAUAGAUGGGGAUGCGUCUGAUUAGCUUGUUGGCGGGGUAACGGCCCACCAAGGCAACGAUCAGUAGGUGUUCUGAGAGGAAGGUCCCCCACAUUGGAACUGAGACACGGUCCAAACGCCUACGGAAGGCAGCAGUGAGGAAUAUUGGUCAAUGGGCGGAAGCCUGAACCAGCCAAGUAGCGUGCAGGAUGACGGCCCUAUGGGUUGUAAACUGCUUUUAUACAGGAAUAAAGUUAGCCACGUGUGGUUAUUUGUAGGUACUGUAUGAAUAAGGACCGGCUAAUUCCGUGCCAGCCGCCGCCGUAA